GUAGGUGAACCUGCGGAAGGAUCAUUAUCACGUAAUAAUCCACGUUAUAAACCCUUCUUUGAAUUGUUUAAAACACUAAAUUUCUGGAACAGCUCUGUGCUGGAAUGCUUCUGGAUUGGGAUAUGGAAAUUUUAACAAAACACUGUUUAUAUUCAUUUAUAAAUUGAAAUGGGAAAAUUAUUGUAAUUUGAGAUCCCAGAGUAUUGUUAAUAGUUCAUAACCAGCAAUUCGUUAGCGUCUAAGAAAUUGU
rnacentral:misc_RNA from 1 species